AUUGAACGCUGGCGGCAGGCCUAACACAUGCAAGUCGAGCGGAUGAAGGGAGCUUGCUCCUGGAUUCAGCGGCGGAUGGGUGAGUAAUGCCUAGGAAUCUGCCUGGUAGUGGGGGAUAACGUCCGGAAACGGGCGCUAAUACCGCAUACGUCCCGAGGGAGAAAGUGGGGGAUCUUCGGACCUCACGCUAUCAGAUGAGCCUAGGUCGGAUUAGCUAGUUGGUGGGGUAAAGGCCUACCAAGGCGACGAUCCGUAACUGGUCUGAGAGGAUGAUCAGUCACACUGGAACUGAGACACGGUCCAGACUCCUACGGGAGGCAGCAGUGGGGAAUAUUGGACAAUGGGCGAAAGCCUGAUCCAGCCAUGCCGCGUGUGUGAAGAAGGUCUUCGGAUUGUAAAGCACUUUAAGUUGGGAGGAAGGGCAGUAAGUUAAUACCUUGCUGUUUUGACGUUACCAACAGAAUAAGCACCGGCUAACUUCGUG
rnacentral:rRNA from 1 species